GGAGAGAUAGCUCAGCGGUUAAGAGCACUGACUGUUCUUCCAGGGGUCCUGAGUUCAAUUCCCAGCAACCACA
rnacentral:tRNA from 1 species